UAGCAGGAGGCGUGGACAGAGUGGUAUGAAGGGAGUUUGUGCUGGGCUGUGGUCUGUGCUGUUUGUCUAAUUCAGGGAAGGUAUCAGGCUACCCCAAGGAGGACUCUGCUAUACGAUCUGCAUCCUGGUGAUAGUAACCUCUCUUUUCUGGCUGUUGAAGCGCAUUCCUGUGCGGAUGUGGAAAGACAGAAAGCAAGAUACAGCCAGGGCUAGGACAGGAAUGGUCUUGCUCUGUUGCCCAGGCUGGAGUGCAGUGAUGUGAUCAUGGCUCACUACAACCUCCGCCUCCCGGGGCUCAAGCGAUCCUCCCACCUCAGCCUCCUGAGAAGCUGGGACUACAAGUGUGCACUGCCAUGCCCGGCUAAUUUUCUAGUUUUUGUAGAGACAGUGUUUCACCAUGUUGCCCAGGCUGGUCUCCAACUCCUGAGCUCAAGCAAUCCUUCUGCCUCAGCCCCCUGAAGUGCUGGGAUUACAGGUAGGCAAGAGAAGGUGCUGGCAAAAUGGAUGUAUGUAAUGUCAGAAAGCAAGGCAAUUCUGAUUACACCUGGAUUUCUACUGAAGCAGAAUUGCAGUUCAACUCUUUAGUCUCCAAAGACAAAGACGGGAGAAGGGAGGGAGUGCAGAGGGC